rnacentral:rRNA from 1 species
GACGAACGCUGGCGGCGUGCUUAACACAUGCAAGUCGAACGGAAAGGCCCUGCUUUUGUGGGGUGCUCUAGUGGCCAACUGGUGAGUAACACGUGAGUAACCUGCCCUUCACUUUGGGAUAACUUCAUGAAACUUGGGCUAAUCCCGGCUAGGAUCUCCUGCUUCAUGGUGGGGGUUGGAUAGUUUCGGCGGUUGGGGGUGGACUCGCGGCUUAUCAGCUUGUUGGUUGGGUAGUGUCUUACCAUGGCUUUCACGCGUAGCCGGCCUGCGCGGGGCAGAGGCCACACUGGGACUGAGAUACGGCCCAGACUCCUACGGGAGGCAGCGGUGGGGAAUAGUGCACUAGGGGCUGAAGCAUGAUGCAGCAACGCCGCGUGCGGGAUGACGGCCUUGGGGUUGUAAUCCGAUUCCGCUUGUCACGAAGCGUGAGUGACGGUAAUGGGUAAAGAAGCACCGGCUAACUACGUG